rnacentral:sRNA from 1 species
CCUUAGAUUUGGUUAAUGAACUUGUUGUCUAGGGAUAAUUAUUGAGCAUGUCAAUCACCUGUAAAUUGAGGAAACAAAACUACUCAAUUACCCAUCCUCGGGAAUUCUUUAUCUGAUUGAAUUUAUUGUUUACUCUACUAUUGUUACUGCAUCUUGUCAUCUGUUGCUUAGUUUCUGCAAUUCUUUCUUGUUACUCGACAUGAUACUCGACCACCCAGUUGUCUGGCAACAAACUGUGCAGUCGAGUAUCCCUGUUUCGUUUACUGCCUGUUACUCGACCAAGUCACUCGACCACACCCAAUGUUCUGCAAUGAGCUGUGUUGGUCGAGUGUUUUAUUAUUUCUGUUUUCUGCAUGUUCACUUAGGACAGCUAGAACACACCAAAACCUGUUAUUGCUUGGCUUGACUUAGUGACUUCUGAUCACAUCUUGAUUGUUAGCAUCACACCCAUUUGGAUUGACAACCUAAAAUACUACAACGACAUGAUUGGUGUUUUAGGAUAAUUGAUUAAAAACCUAUUAUCAAAA